AUGCAUAUUCUUUAUAACCAAAUUUCAUUCCAAUGUGGGGUUCUUCUAUUUCACCCUCUCACACCACCACUCUUGUCGGAGGCUGCUGCUCCUCUCCCUCUCUCUCUUGGCUCUGGUUCUCUCUCUCUCUCUCUCGGCCCAAUAGAGGAUAAUGUCUCUCUCUAUCUCUUGCCCCAACAGAGGGCUCGCUGUCUAACCUUCAA
rnacentral:lncRNA from 1 species